GCAUUUGUAACUCAACUGGAUAGAGUGUUGGUCUACGGAACCAAAAGUUAUAGGUUCAAAUCCUAUCAAGUGUA
rnacentral:tRNA from 1 species